ensembl:lncRNA
CUCUGAGAAACGUAAAUUAACUUUGAAGUUAGUCAUGUUCUGAGCAGUAAUUCUUCCUUCACCCUUAGCUUUUGGCAUAUAAUUCCCUGAAAGCUCACCCGUAACUUACGGCAAGGUAAUUGCCUUCUCUGAGCAUAGCAUAUCUGAAUGCCAGUUUCCAUGACUGGUCAGAUCACAGAGCACCUUUAACGAUGCAGCUCUCUGGUAACAGAACAAGUUUGGCUUCUCCUGGUGCCUCACAGCAGCUGGAAACAAAGCUGAGUGCCCUCCAGGGCAGUGAGAGUGUGUGCAAGAUGGAUAACUCUUCCACUGCAAGGCAAGAUGGAAAAGACUGCAGAACAAACAUGAAGGCUUUGCUCCUUUGCAGGCACAGGAAUCGUGCUUUUCUGUCCUUUCAUGUGAUCCGCCUACCACAGAAAGUUGCUAACAAGGACUUGGAAAGUAAAAUGUGCAUUAAAUGAACGGGUUUGGCAGAAGAAACAUCUGUUUAACUGGAGUGGAUGACUUCAGCUGCAAUGUGCUGCAGAGACCCAGAGCAGUGCUCAGCAGGAUGACCUCUGCCAGAUCAAUCUUCAGCGAGAGAACAUCUCACAAAGCAACUGCCCCACCUCCACCUGUCAUUUCUUGAGGAAGACCUACAGAAAAUCAUAGAAUCAUAGAACCACAGAAUGGCCUGGGUUGAAAAGGACCACAGUGAUCAUCCAGUUUCAACCCCCCUGCUAUGUGCAGGGUUGCCAACCACCAGACCAGGCUGCCCAGAGCCACAUCCAGCCUGGCCUUGAAUGCCUCCAGGAAUGGGGCAUCCACAACCUCCUUGGGCAACCUGUUCCAGUGUGUCACCACCCUCUGUGUGAAAAACUUCCUCCUAAUAUCUAACCUAAACCUCUCCUGUCUCUGUUUAACAAGCCUAGGAAAUAAUAUUCAACUCUGUUGGCUACUAAAAGUCAGCAGCUCAGCAGUGCCACGUGCUUCACGCUGUCCUGCAGUGCUUCAUGCACCCUGCAUCUACUGAUCCCUCUGUCCUCAGGUGCUCCCUGCCUGGUGCUGCCACAGGACACAUCCCACCUGUCCUUGCCACCACCCUCUGUGGUCCACAGGUGUCGCCUGCUUAUGCUUUUACAGUGAUUUUACUAAAGGUAAACUGAACUCAAAGCGAUCACUCCUCACCAGCAUCAUGACAUUUGCAGCCUCUGUCUCAGACUGGUAAAAGAGCUCGUCUGGCCAAGGUUGACAUACAGUUUUUGAGAGCCUAAUCAAAAAUUAGAGCUACAAUCAUUUCUUGUCUGUGUCCUGAGGCCUUCAGAGCCGUUACAAGAGUAAAUAAGUGAUCAGACAUAUCCUUUUCUCGUCGUCGCAGCAAGGCUUAGGCUCCCUUCUGGAAGGGAGCAGCUCAUAACAAAGGCAGAGCGAUUCCUCUGCUAUCUCUGGUGGUUUUUGCAAAUGUGAAAGAUGUGCAGACAUAGCAGAGAAAAAAGAUAGCAAGUAAGCGCAGACAAACAUAGACGUCUUCACAGGAGGAAAAUUCCCCCACCCCAGUACAGACUUUUGGCUGAAGGAUAAUGUCUUUGUUCCCGGAUCCAAGAUGCUGUCACUCCCGUUUCAUUAUUCCUCCUCUAAAAGAAACAGACUUUUCACAUUCUUUGUAAAUGAAAAGGAUUGCAUUAAGUAAAAAACCUGUUUAUUGUUAGCUUUUCUUCUUAACAGAAACUGCCUGCAGGGUCCCUCGCUGUGGCCAGCAGUUUGACAGAAAGCAGUAAUAGUCCUGUGAGUGAAUCCAGUGUGGUAUGUGCAUCCUUAUUAGCCAGGAUUAAUGAAAAUGAAGAAGAAGGAAGUUGUGCUGGGUGGAUGCUGGAGCAUUUGGGCAUUUUGGAACUGAUCAGCUAGUUGAGUUUUGAUAAGUUUGCAGAUAAGUGCUCCAGGACACCAUCAAGCCUCUCUCUCCACAUAGGUUACAGCUCCAGGUCGUUAGAAGCCUGAAAGUCCUCUUUGCAAAGAUUAAAUCUGCCUCCUCCUCUACGAAUACUGGCACUGUAAGAAAGACUGCAAACUUAGGAACAUCCCAACCUGUCUUACAAAAGCGAGACUGCGCAUCAAAAUGUUAUAUGCUAUUCAUUACCAACAUUUUAAAGAGCUCAGGAAGACUUCCACACACGAGCUGAAGAAGAACAGCCCAUGCAGCUGGACCUCACGUUGUCCCAUGUUUAAAAGUCGUUAGAGGGACAAAAUGUAAAGUAACGUGAUGGGGCUGUCUUGCAAAUGAGUGGAAGUUGGAAAAUAUAACACUUCAAAUAGGACCAUCUCUUCCAGGACUGAAUGCUUGAUGAUACAGAGGUACAGUCCUUAGGUGGCGUAGACCUUUUCAUCGUCUCAGGUGAAGACUGCAGGGUUACAGAGAUGUGAAAUUAGGCCAUGGGAGAGAAUAACUGUAUAAAAUAAGCACCUGAUGAUGAGUGUCACAGUGGCAUAGCUGGUGGUUCAAACGUGUGGCACCUUGGCAGCAGGGUCCUCUGGCUUGGAGCUCCAAGAAAGCCUUGGUGUAUAACUGUUUUAUGAGACUUCUCGUGUCCGUCGCCAUGAACUUAUCAGAAACACUGGUCUUAUCACCGUGAGAUAGUACUAUUUAUUAAGGCUUAUAGUGUAACAACUGACACUCCUCACACUGUGUAUAAACUCUCCUUCGAAGUCUAAAGAUUUAUAAAAAGAGAGUGAGGAAACACAGAUACUGGGGGGAUGGAAAGCUGUCAGCGAGAGCCCUUUGGCUGAGCCUGUCCUGUCGCCAGGAGGGUCUGUGCUCUCAGAACACAAGCACCAGAGAAGAGCAGCUCCAAAACCCAAUGGCUGCAUUGCUGCAGGCCACCGGCAUUGGUCUCUUUAAGCAAGCAGCGAGGGCAGAGGGGGUGAAAGAUGGAGCCUGCCCAUCACCUGUGCCAUGUGGCUGAGAUGGAGCCAUGGGGAACCCGAGAAGAAACAAAGGCAUGGGGAUCAUUUUAAAAGCUCCCUUUCAUGGUCUGAGAGUUCACAAGCUCAGCAAACAAUCAUUUCUCUGUGGGUUUUGCUGGAGUUAAGUGGAAGGCUGUAAGGAGUCCUGCCACCUCUCACAGAGCCACAGCUUCAGGGGCUUCUGUGCUUCAGCCCUGCAGUCUCAAGCCCGUGUUGGAACAGGACCAGAAUGAAGCCCUGACAUAUGUUGCAGCCAAAGAUUUCCCAGGGUUCCCAAGACGGUUGCGGGAAGCCAAGCGUUCUUAAAUUCUUCGGAAAAUCCCAAAUGCGCCCAUGAUGACAAAGGGCAGCUUCUGGUCUCACCCAAAUAGCAACCAGCUACAAGUCAGUCUAUUUGUCCUUCCCGUGACAUCUUAACAGCAGAGAUUAUGCAGAAGGCACUUUGCCAAUCUGUGCUGGCUCUUUCUGCAGCUGGUUGAUAGAGAAAGGAGUGGCUUCAACCAUCCGGCCCAAGGUUCUUUCAGCAUAACCUGCAUUCACUCAGCGAUUUGCUAACUGGAUAAAAAGUCUUGGUAACAUUCAAGACAGCAUGGCUUCACAGUGACAGCUAGCAGACAGCAAGGUAGUGUGGCUUUUACUGUUCCACGCAUUCUCCCUACAUGCGCUAUGAUUACUUGCAGCAUUAAAAUAGUUUUUCCUUCUGGUUCUCAUUUUGCUAUCACCAUUAUUCACAGUAUGGCUGUGCCCACAUCUGGAUGUCUGGUGGUACGUACUACUCUAUGUGGUAGUGCCCAGUGGCCAGGAACCUGCUGUGGUAGGUGCUGGGCUCUCAGGCAGAAGCAACACCUGCCCUGAAGAGUUCAUGACUGCAAUGGAAUAUUAACAUGGAAAGAAAACAUUAAAUUUGCAGCUGAAUGCAGUCUAGAUUCAAAUGAAGGAGAGGCAGUAAGAAUGACCAGAGCCAGUUCUUCACUCCCACUUGCUUCUUCAGACUUGGCUUACAGGAAGGAGUCCUAGACAGUAUUAUGCAGCUGAGACCAUUUUUUUAGCUGUUUCUGGCAAAAGGGGCGUUGAAGAACCAGUAGCUGAGGAUUUAAUGGAUUAUUUAGGACAGAUUUACAUCUCUUUGCAUGCUUUGAGUGAUACAAAGAAGAUUAAAGCACCACAGUCACAAAAUGCCUGAGGACCACAUGAGCUGAAAGCCUGAAGUCUCAUUCUUGCUUGUUACUGUGCAAAGUCACUGGCUCCCGGAUCAAACGCAUCAUUACUGCAGGAGACACAAAAUCAAAGCUCUACCAUCUAUGAUCAUAAUCUGUCUAGGGAUAUAUAUUUCCCAUUUCAAAGGUGUUAAUCUUAAGAUAAUGGACAACUUCUGACCCCAGUAAUGAGUUCUCUGCCUUCAGAAAUUCCUUCUAUUUCAAAAAAUACAGCAGUUGCAAUUUGAGUGAGUUUUUUCUUUGCUUUUUGUUCUAAAGUUGUGGUGUGGUUCCGCACUGUGGGGACCAGGCAGACUUGGUCAGACAAUUCUAACUAAAUUAUCUUCCCACAGAAAUGUCUUACUUUCCCUUUUUGAAGCUACUUUUUCCUGAUAAAGUAUAUGCUAUGCCAGGGAAAGUGGGGACAAGCUAGCUCUCUCUGGUCUGAAGAUCAAGGCACCCCUCUUAGAUGGAAUAGUUCCAGGUUCAGGUUCAAUACUUCAUAACCAGACAAAUAGCUGAUAUUUUCUCGUGACUGUUUAGAAAAACAGAAGCCCAGCCAGACAAAACCUAGAAAGACCUUGAUGGCAUGAAAAGCAUUUCACAUCCCUCUCAAUUGGUAGGUUGGUUUCAUAUCAGCAACAGUAACUUGCAGCUGGGGUGAACUUUCCCUUAGCAGCCCUUCCCCUUAGCAUCAGAGUCUUUUAGUUUGGAAGAGACCCUGGAAAUAUUCUCAUCCCUCCUCCCACUCUAAGCAAGUCCAAUUGAAAUCAGGUGCCUCAGGACCUUGUCCAGUUAAGGUUUGAAUACUUCAGCCAGUUCUGGAGUAUAGGACUCAGUUCUGCUGCUUAAGAGUUAAGGAGAUAUAUUACAGUGGGGCCACUAUUUCACUUUAUUUUAUGAUCCAAAAGCUCAACAAAAAUUACUUUAAUCCAUGGCAUUUAUGCUGCAUAACUCCAGAAGCACACUGCAUACGUGCACUGACAGAGGCAUUUGGGGUAAUCCAUAAACACUGCACUGCCAUCAGCUAGAACAGGAGUCAUUUCCUCUCCCUAACCCAGUACUUGCAAGGUCUCUGGAAGACUCUGUGGUUAUAUCUCAUGCUCAUCAGUCUUUCUGAAACUACACUGCCUGUGACGUGCAGAGCGCACACAGGCCUUUCUUCUUCAUUGCUGGAACAGAGGAUAAAAAGAGGAUAAAACAUACCUGGCAGGUAAAUCAAGCAAACAAUGCAGAAUUUAUGAUUCCCCUUCUUAAUAUUCACGGAGUAUACAUUGCAGAAUAAUAUAAUUCCUCACAAAAAAGCACUCAGAUCAAUAUAAACAGAAUAUAAACAUGAAUCUGGAAAAUAAAGACAGAGUCACUGACAGCUCCUGAGGUAGGGUGUUAUUAGGAAGGAGUGAGGGAACAACAGAACCAAAUUUUUAUGUUUCAAAGGAUCUAAAUUCAUUAUUCCCAAUCAGAUGGUGCUUUUCCCUACAGAAAGACACCUCUAGUUCACUUUGUUUAGACUUUCCAUUUUCUACUCAGGUGAGGUGGCUCACCCACUCUCCCAUCCCUACGGAGAGCUGGCUUUACCUUCACUUGCUUUCCAACGUACCACUCAGGAGAAUUUUUCUGCUUUCAGUAGCUGGUCUUCAAAUCACUCCAUUAUUAAAACUCCAACUUUAUUUUUGCAAUACAAACAAAAUACACGCUGAGUUUAAAGCUAGAGGUGUUGCAAGCAGAGCGUUUUAAUCAAUAUUUAAUUUAGCUGGACUCAUCACUUAAGAGCGAGUAGCCAAGUUCCACACAUUAAGAAUGGUCUUUUGCAAUGCCCAUCUUGACAAGCAAGCUUUACCAUCGCAAGCACUGCUGCUGAAUUCCAGCACAUCACUACCUGCAUCUGAAAGGACGCAGAUAAUGAGGUACAGACGUUUCUUUCGAUGCUGCAGGGAGCUUGAGGAAACCUAAAGUGAAAGAGCUUCCAGAACGCUUCACUGUAUUCAUCAGUACAGUUCAACCAAAUUAAUAACUCUACCAUCUUGGCUUGCAAAGCAGGCAAACAUUUCGUCUUAGAACUGGUUCAUUAAAAAUGUCAAACCCAGCAACCCAGACCGGGAACACUAAAGGGCUGUGUCUUCAGUACAGAUGGUGCAGUGGGGUGUCUAGGGGACACUGAUCAAAAUCUGCCUGAGCUGGUGAUUUAAUAUGCAAAGAAAUAUGUUGGUUUACAACUUGUAGCAACUCCUUAAAGAAUAUCUGGAGACAAAACAAACAAACAAAACCAAAAACACCCAGGUAAUCUUCUCUUUAGAAGAGGAACCUACACUUUUCAUAGGGUUUUAAGAAGCUUAUAGUCUGCAAGGGGCAGCAUUGAAGGUAAUAUAACUCAUUUUAUCUAUCUCUUCCCCAUUCCCAGAGUAAUGCUAUGACAAAACCUGCUGAAUAAGUAACUUGUUCUAAGUUAGCUGCCCAGCUAAAGCAUGGAAAUAUCUCUGAUGAACUGAUGAACAACUUAUAUCCAAAAGUAUUUUUAUGGACUGCAAAUUGUUGGCGAGUUGUCCAUAAUUCAAACAGAGAUGGUUUUGUUCAUUAAACAGUACUGCCAAACCCAUACCGGAUAUCUGUGUUUAGUGGGCCUCAACACAACAAGGAUGGGCAAUUCCACAGUUGAAGGCUGGAUAACGGCAUUGCUCCAGAGGAGUUACUCUGGAUUUACAGUGUGGAGUGAGGUUGGAAUCUGGACAACUAAUAAGGGAUCAGUAAAUCUUCUUUUCAGCUUUUACUUAUUUAUUUAUUUAGUCUCCUAGAAAGACAAUGAAGCUAACAAAAACGAUACUGGACCGAAAGCAAAGUGAAAUGGCUGUUGCAGACUGUUAACACAUCACACAACGCUCACAUAAAGAAGAGGGAGUUUCCACCUGGGAAAUUCCCUCAAACUCUAUGUUUAUCCUCGUGAAAGACGAGCAAGCAGCCAAGUAAGGGAAUGCAAAGCAUACAGCUGCUCUAAAAGAAGACAAACCUUUGACUGCAGAGAGAAAAAGCAUCCUAAAACCCAAAUGAUUGUAAGUUUAACAAUCAAGAAGCAACAGAUAACUUAGAUAUCAGCGUGGCCAGUUGGGGCUAGGAUAUAAACACCCAACAAGAGUUGUCCAGGUUGUUCACAUUUGACCUUUCUGCAAGCCAGUGCAACAAAAUCUGUGGUAAAGAUUUUAUUAACCACAACAUAAAAGAAAACAGGAACAACCAAGCUUUCACAGGACCUCUAAGACUGCCUGACUUACACUUCUACUAGAAUCAUAUAAUAUCAUAGAAUCAUAGAAUGGCCUG